CCUACGGUUUUUAUAAAAUUAUAUCCAUUCGGUUUAUAUGGUAUAUACCAAAACCAAACCAUAUUAUCUAUUUCGGUUUGGUUCGGUUUGGUACGGUUCGGUUUUACCAUAUUGAACAUCCCCUAUCAAUACCAUUAAAAGAGGAUCAUUCCCUUAAUGAAAACUACACUUUUCUCAAAAAUAUCCUUAUUUUUACAAAUGAUUAAUUAAAUUCAUUAAUUGCAUUUAGGUCUUUUGGUUGUGGGCCUACAAAUACACCUAAAUAGAUCUGUUAAUAAUGGGCCUAUAUAUAUUUAUAAGAUAUAUUAAUUUUAAAUUUAAUAUAAGUAUAAAUAUAUUAUGAAACAUAAAUAAAUUAACAAACAUGAAAAUAUCAUUUUCUUAAAUAUAUGUAUAAAUAUUCAAAAUAGAUCAUUUGAAUAUUAUACAGAUUUUCAAUACAAACCAAAUCAUAUAUCCUACACCAUAUAUCAUUUACAUAUCCGAAUAUCAUUUUUCCAUGUAUAAUGUCAUUUUAUACAUAAUAUUAAUAUGGCAAUUACGAGUGUUCAAGAAUAUUUUAAAAAUUAUAUUAAAAUCAAAUUUAAAUCUAAAAUAAAAACACAAACUUAUAAUAGGUUAUUAAUAGCGAAAAUAAACUAAUAUUGUCAUAUCAAUAAGUUUUUUUAUUAUCAUUUCUUAUACGGAUAAUAUAAUAAAAUUUCAUCAAAUUUUAAGGAAUCACUAAUUUAUGUAAUAUUAAAAAAAUAUGAGUACUUUAAUCAAUUUUUUUUUUAAAAAAAAAUACUGUUAGAUAUUUUGUGUUUUAUCGGAUCAAUGGUAUCAGAUUGAAGGUUAAUAGUGAGUUUUUGGGUUUUUACCGGGUUAUUUUUAUUUAACAAAUUUUUCAUUAAAUCUGAAUCGGAUUAUAUACAAUGUAUUGGGUCUAUAAGUUCGACCAUGAAUCUAGAUCGGAUAUGAAAACAAAUUUUAAAACUCAAACAUUAUUAUAGAACAACUACCAUAUGUCGAACAAAUACAAUAUUUUGAAAAGAAAAAAAAACAAAUGAUAAAAACCUAAAAACUCAAUUGUUAUGGUUCAAAACAAAAAAUAAUGGUAGUUUGUAAAUUAGUUUUCGAUCAAUAAAUGAAAAGAAAAUCCGCGUUUUCUAAACGCGGAUCAAAAUCUAGUUGUUCUUAAGCACCAUCUUACAAUUCCCGCCAAAAUUAAGUAACUAACGGCUACAGGUAAAGAGAGAAAGAAGAGGAGAGAGAUAUAGAGAGUUUCAGAGCCUAACUAUAAAAAGAAAAACUUUGCUAGAUUUCAGGAGCUCCAACAAUGGAGUUGCGUCGUUGUUCAUCGCGUGUCUCCAUUUUUCAGGUAAAACAAAACUCAUUUUCUCCAAAAAAUAAUUUAAAACAUUUUCCGUUUUGUUUCGCCUCACGUCCCUCUUCUUCUUCUUCUUUCUCGGGUUCCCAUCUCCCUUCAAUUUGGGAACCUGAAAAUCGAUUACUCAACCUUCAUGAUCAAUUCUUCAGGAUGGGUCUAAAGCUCUCAAGAGGGCCUGGAAAAGAGAAAUCAACUCUUCAACUAACAAGGGUUCACAUUCUAACGUACCUAACCACAAGUUAUUACCUACGUAACUUGGUGUCCAAGAAACGAAGGCGGUUAAUCACCGGUGGAUACGAUCUCGACAUGUCUUACAUAUCCGACAAACUGUUGGCUAUGUCUUUUCCCGCUGAACGAAUGAGAGCAGUUUAUAGAAACCCUCUUUGGCAAGUCAAGUCCGUGCUCGAUAUGCGACACCCUGAUCAUUACAAGAUUUAUAAUCUAUGCAUAGAGGAAUGUUAUGAUCCAGAGAACUUCUAUGGACGCGUGGAGAGAUUCCCAUUUGAUGACAACCACGUCCCAUCUCUUAAAAUGAUCCAACUGUUCUGCCAAAGUGUUCAUUCUUGGCUCUCACUAGAUCCUAAGAACAUAGCCGUUGUCCAUUGCAUGGCAGGGAAAGGUAGGACAGGGCUAAUGGUAUCAGCGUACCUUGUGUAUGGUGGAAUGUCAGCUGAAGAAGCUCUUGAGAUGUAUGCAAGUAGAAGAACCACUAACAAUAAUGGAGUUUCAAUACCUAGCCAGCGUCGUUACGUGAAAUAUUGGUCACAUUUACUUGGUGAAAGAAUUGGAAAAGGACCUCCAGAGGUUAAAUUACCUCAAGAACAUAGCAGAGAGUUGCUAAGAAUUAGACUCUACGAUACAGCCAACGUUGAUUCUGUCUUCUUUGUGGUCUCAGAACUUCAGGAGGUUCCAAAUGAGAUGUAUAGACCAUCAGUAGAACUCGCAAGAGGUUGUUGUAGACAAUUCAAGAAAGGCUACUGUAGAAGCUCGAGUCCACGGUACUAUAUAUCCCAUAUAAACUGUGAUUCAGAGGAGGAUGAGGUGUUAACAGCCGGAGAAGAGCCGCGUCUUGUUGUUCAAAUGGAUACAGAGAGUUCCAUCAUCGACGAGAAAACAUGUCUUGAUUUCUACUUUGACAAACCUGUGAGAGUGAGUGGAGACAUACGCAUCACAUUCUACCAGAAAAUGAUUGGAAGCCGGCUCUUUUAUACAUGCUUCAACACUGCUUUUAUAACCAAUGGCUUGCUUCAGUUUUCCAUAGGAGAGCUAGAUAAAGUUGGUGGUAAUGGAAGAUCAAUAUCUGGUCCUGAUUUUAGCUUGGAGUUGCUUUUCAGUCCAGCUACUUCCAUAUCUGGAAAGCUUCUUUCCCGCGACGACCUUUCUCUUUCCUGACUCCUCUCUGUUUCUGCUCCUUCAAAAGUUUUGUUUCAGAACAUGAGUUGGUCAGCUGAUCCUGCAAACACUUCAAUGCAAGUGGAAGUAUCUAAAGGCAAAUGGCACAAACAAAUCACUUUCUCAACAAUCUUUUUUGUGGCAUGGACUGCAAUUUUGGAAAAUGCAAAAUCCACAUUGCACAAUCAUUUGUUUUGGUUAUGGUGGAUAUUAUAUGAAAGAUGAGGCUGAAAUAAAAUGGAUCUCGGGAGAUGGUGAAGGAGAAGAUGAAAUUCACACAAUUGUGUUGAAGAAAUCAAUGGAGAAGAUCACUUACUCUAGCUUGGUUGAGCGUAUUUGCAGAAAGAUAAAAGUAGAUAAAUUUAAGGUGCAAGUGAAGAUUAGUUACUUUCCAAUGGUAUUGUAUUCGUACAAGCCAUCAUACAUCUUGAAUGAUGAAGACGAGAAGUUUAGAAGUGUUCUACAUGUGGAGUUCAUCAAUGAAGAAGUGCAACUUUCAGAAGAGGAUGAUGAAACUGACGGCUAUGUCGGUCUAUCUGAUAGAGAGGCUAUAGAGGCUGGUGAUGAGGAUGGUACUGAGAAUGAUGAAACUGAUGUCUAUGUCGGUAUAUCUGAUAAAGAGACUACAAAGGCUGGUGAUGAAGAUGGUAAUGGUGGUGUGCUCACUUUUCACGAAGACAUUGAGAUGCAUGAUGGUGUUAAUCAGAGACGGGAUGAUGGUAUGGAUUUGGUUAUAGGUCAAGAAUUUAUAACCAAGGAGACAACAAAAGUUCUUCUUCAAACGACAUCAUAUCAGAAAUCUUUUGAAUUUGAUAUAAUUAAGUCGGAUACUAAGAGAUUUGUGGUUAAAUGUCGAGAAGCCAAAGAUGGGUGCGAGUGGUUUAUGCGAGUUGCAGUGUUAAAGAAUUCAGAUAUUUGGACGGUUAGAAGUUACAUCAAGCAGCAUACAUGUUCUGUCGUUACAAGAACACUGCCUGAUAGAGAGGCUGGUGAUGAAGAUGGUACUGAGAAUGAUGCAACUGGUGAUGAAGGUACUAGUGGUGUGCUCACUUUUCACGGAAACAUUGAGAUGCAUGAGAAUUUCACGGAAAGAGAUGAACAUAUGUUGAAGAUACAGAAGUAAGACCACGAGUUGUCUAUCAGCCACGGGAUGAUGUACCUGUUUGGUUUUAGGUCAAGAAUUUAGAACCAAGGAGGAAGCAAAAGUCCAUAUUCAUACGACUUCAGAUCAGAAAUGUUUUGAGUUUGAUAUACUUAAGUCGGAUACUAAGAGAUUUGUACUAAAAUGCUGAGGAGCCAAAGACGGCUGCAAGUGGUUUGUGCGAGUUGCAAAGUUAAAGAAUAGAGAUCUUUGGACGGUUAGAAGUUACAUCAAGCAUCAUACAUGUUCUGUUGUCACUACAAGAACACUGCCUGAUAGAAGGAAAGACACAUCACAAAUCGUUGCAUCAAUUUUGGCUCAAGAUUAUCCUGGUACAUUUGACACACCAGUUCCCAAAGUUCUGAUCGAUUUGGUUCAUCGAAGGGUUGGUGUGCAUGUAUCAUACACCUCAUCAUGGAGAGAAAAAAGAGAAGAUGCUAAUGAAGUGCGAGGAAGUCCAGAAGAGAGUUUUACUUUAUUAUACUGUUAUAUGCACAUGCUGGAGCAGACGAAUAUUGGCACAAGAACUCGUGUGGUAGUGGAUGAGGCCAAAAAUUUUUAAGUAUAUUUUUUUUGUCCGAGGAGCUAGCAUAGAAGGGUCCAAUGCGAUGAGGAAAGUCCUCAUUGUGGAUGGAACACACCUCAAGAAUGUUUAUGGUGGAGUUCUCCUUGUUGCGACUGCUCAGGAUCCUGAUCAUCACCAUUACACAAUUGCGUUUGGUGUAGCAGAUGGUGAGAAUGAUGAAAGCUGGAUAUGGUUUAUGGAACAUUUGAAAUCAGUGAUAUCCGAUGUCCCGGGAUUGGUAUUUCUUUCAGAUAGAAACAAAAGCUUGAUCAAGUCAGUACAUCUAGUGUUCCCUGAGGCCGAACAUGGGUAUUGUAUAUGGCAUUUGUCUCAGAAUGUUAAAAGCUACAUCCAUAACAACAAAGAUACUUGUGCCUUCAAGUUUAGAGAAUGCGCACACGCUUAUACGGAGGCUGAGUUCAACUGUUCAAGUACCUUUAUCAUGCUUUUCGCAGGAAGUAUCCUAGUGCAGCAGUGUAUCUUGACAAAAGUAUUGAAGAGAAGAAAUGGCCUAGAUGUUACUUCAGAGAAGAUAGGUACAAUGUUGACACCACCAAUUCAGUAGAAUCUUAUAAUGGUGUAAUUAAGGAGGCGAGAAAGUACACCUUACUACCAAUGUUUGAUUUAUCAUUGCAAAAAUGUCUGAAUGGUUUAACAACCAUAAGAAGGAGGCAGCUGAAAUACCAUACACACUGAAGCUUGUGCCAAUUUUGGAAACCGAAAUAUCUAAAAGAGUCAAAUUUUUCCUGCAUUUGCUUAAGUUUUGGAAGAAUUCGAUAUGGCUAUCAAGACUAAGUUAUUCAUCAGUUAUGCUUUGUCUGUAGGUUUUUAACUUGCUACAAUCAUACAAAAUAAAGCUCAAAGAUCUCACUAACUAGUUCAAACAACAUCUGAUCAUGUAAGAAUAAGUAGAACCUAUCAUGUUUCUGCGUGAACUAUAUAUUGACAUGUUUAAAAAUUUACAUGAAUAUAGCAUUUCACACAUGAGCCAUUUACACAAGAUCAUAUUUGGCAGGAGGAGAUUAAGGAGCUGUGUUUUUUGGUCAUUUUCUCUGAAUCACAUAUAUGCAAUGCACCAAGAGCUAUAGGUCACAACUAUACACUACAAAAUCCUUCAUAAAACAAAUGAGGCACCAAGGUUUAUGGUCACCAUAAAAACCUUUUAUGCGAUUUGAUAAUUCAAAUUUUAGAUUUUUCAAAUGAGGCACCAAGGUUUAUGGUCACCAUAAGAAACCUUUUAUGCGAUUUGAUAAUUCAAAUUUUAGAUUUUUCUUACAUUAUAAGCUUAAUGCUUCUUUCUUUUUACAUGCAACACCUUCACUGAGAGGAUUUGAAUUUGCUCCAUUGAAUUUAUACUCGCUUGGUGUGUGUGUGAUGAAGCUCAAUAGUGUGACAAAAGCGGCUACCUCAAGUUAAAAGGACCUUCGUAUAGUCUCAAAGCUAAAACCAAGGACUCUGAAUUAUAUGGCAGGAUCAUGGAUAACUUUCUGGCCGAAGGAUUGAAUAAAAUCAAAAGUAGGGCUCAAGUCAUCGAAGCUUUAGUAUGGAGAGGUAUCAAGUGUGGAUGCUUACAAGAUGUUCAUUUUUGUUGUUGCAGCUACUUUUCCAUCUUGAGUCUCAUGAUUCUGCUCAGUUAUCCCAGCUAAGAAAAAAAAAUUGUUGGAUAUACUGUAGUAUGUUAUAACACAAUGUUGGAAUCUCAAAUGCUUCUUUUGCCUUUUUUUCUUCUCCAGAAUAAGCUAUGAGCUUUCAUAUCUAUGAACGUUGAAUCAAGCUGAUGUACUGAUCGUUUCAAUUAUUUUUGAUGCUAGAGUUGGUACAGGUUCUGCAACAAUAUACAUUGAGAGCAAAUUUUAAAAACUUUUAGCCUUUGUGUUAGCCACUAAGAAAUGAGUGAAAAUCACAUAAGGGACAAAAGCUCAUCUGGGAGCGACACUCUACAGACUUACUAGAUCAACAUCGACAUUUCUGUAAUCGUUCAAUAGCUCUUUGUUUUGAAUGUUGAAUACGUACUUCAUUCAAGUGGAAAUCAUGGCCUUAAAAUAGCCUUACAAAUAACAAGAAACGAAACUUACACUAGUGAAACAGAGUAACAGACGUGAGCCUAAAUACUCGGUCACGUUACCAACUACAAACAGAAACAAAGAUUGAAUCAAACUUAACUAAUCCAAUGGCUAUAAAGCUCUUAUUCAAUCCAACGGUCAACCUUCUCUUCAAGAUCAAUUUGCUCCAACAAACCCUCCCUAAACUAAACUUGGUUCACCAAGCUUAGCUUAUCAGUCACUGAGCAAAUUCCAAGCUGACUCCUCAAUCUGUCAAACGUCUCUCGCUUCAACGGCUUAGUGAAAAUGUCUGCCACUUGCUCUUCUAAACCACAAUGCUCCAACUGUAUUUCUUCAUCCUUCACCAUGUCAUGCAAGAAAUGAAAACAAACUCCUAUGUGUUUGCACCUCCCGUGGAAGACUGGAUUCUUCGAAAGCUUUAUUGUUGAAGUGUUGUCACAGUAGAUGACAGUGCUUCCAUCCACACUGUAACCCAACUCUCCGAAUAUCCUUUUGAACCAUAUCGCUUGACAAGCGCAAACUGAUGCUGCAACAUACUCUGCCUCAGUCGUGGAGAGUGUGACGAUCGGCUGCUUCUUUGAUAACCAUGCUACAGCCGCAUUGUCCAUAAGGAACAUAUAGCCUGAGGUGCUCUUCCUGCUAUCAAUAUCACCGGCAAAGUCACUAUCAGUAUACACUAGUAGCUCUCCAGCUACUCCUUUCUUGUACCAAAUCCCAUAAUCUUCUGUGUCUCUCAGAUACCUUAGGACCCUUUUGACAGUCUGGAGAUGCAACUUUGUUGGCCUAGACAUGUAGCGACUCAACAAACUCACAGCGAACUGCAGGUCUGGUCUCGUCGUUGUGAUAUACAUGAGACUUCCUAUGAUUUGUUUGUAGAAAGUCUCAUCGAUCCUUUCUCCAUUUUCAUCCAUGUCAACCUUGCUUCCAGGUACCAUUGGAUUGCGCACUCCGUUGCAAUCUUCCAUCUCAAAACGUCUUAAAAUCUCUAUGGCAUAUUUUGUCUGAGAAAUAUGGAUUCCCUGACUUGUCUGCAACACCUCUAUGCCUAAAAAAUAUCUCAUCUUCCCAAGAUCAGACAUAUCGAACUCCUUCUCUAUUGACAACUUAAACUCUUUCAUUAGUAGCACAUCAUCUCCAGUGUAUAUCAAAUCAUCUAUGUA